rnacentral:rRNA from 1 species
GACGAACGCUGGCGGCGUGCUUAACACAUGCAAGUCGAACGAGACCCUUCCUUCGGGGGGGUGUUCUAGUGGCGAACGGGUGAGUAACACGUGGGCAACCUGCCCCCGGCUCUGGGAUAA